rnacentral:rRNA from 1 species
CCUACGUGCGGCAGCAGUGGGGAAUAUUGCACAAUGGGGGAAACCCUGAUGCAGCGACGCCGCGUGAGCGAUGAAGUAUUUCGGGAUGUAAAGCUCUAUCAGCAGGGAAGAAAAUGACGGUACCUGACUAAGAAGCCCCGGCUAACGACGGGCCAGCAGCCGCGGUAAUACGUAGGGGGCAAGCGUUAUCCGGAUUUACUGGGUGUAAAGGGAGCGGAGACGGCGCUGCAAGCCCGAUGUGAAAGCCCGGGGCUUACCCCCGGGACUGCAUUUGGAACUGUAUAGCUGGAGUGUCGGAGAGGCAGGCGGAAUUCCUAGUGUAGCGGUGCAAUGCGUAGCUAUUAGGCGGAACCCCAGUGGCGAAGGCGGCCUGCUGGACGAUGACUGACGUUGAGGCUCGAACGCGUGGGGAGCAAACAGGAUUAGAUACCCCUGUAGUC